rnacentral:rRNA from 1 species
UAAGACGGAGGGCGCAAGCGUUGUUCGGAAUUACUGGGCGUAAAGGGCGGGCAGGCGGCCUGUUAAGUCGUGUGUGAAAAUCCGGGGCUCAACCCCGCGAAAUGCUCACGAUACUGGCAGACUGGAGACCGGUAGAGGCUAGCGGUAUUCCUGGCGUAGCGGUGGAAUGCGUAGAUAUCAGGAAGAACACCUGUGGCGAAGGCGGCUAGCUGGGCCGGGUCUGACGCUGAACCGCGAAAGCGUGGGGAGCAAACAGGAUUAGAUACCCUGGUAGUCCACGCCGUAAACGAUGGGCACUAGGUACCGGGUCUAUAGACGGAUUCGGUGCCGCAGCUAACGCAUUAAGUGCCCCGCCUGGGGAGUACGGUCGCAAGGCUG